CGGAGGUGGCAAGCGUUGUUCGGAAUUACUGGGCGUAAAGGGCGCGUAGGCGGUUCGUUAAGUCCUGUGUGAAAUCCCCCGGCUCAACUGGGGAACUGCACAGGAAACUAGCGGGCUUGAGUUCGGGAGAGGGAAGCGGAAUUCCGGGUGUAGCGGUGAAAUGCGUAGAUGUCCGGAGGAACACCGGUGGCGAAGGCGGCUUCCUGGACCGACACUGACGCUGAGGCGCGAAAGCUAGGGGAGCAAACGGGAUUAGAUACCCCGGUAGUCCUAGCUGUAAACGAUGAGUGCUGGGUGUAGGGGGUAUUAACCCCCCCUGUGCCGAAGCUAACGCAUUAAGCACUCCGCCUGGGGAGUACGGUCGCAAGGCUG
rnacentral:rRNA from 1 species